UUGGUUGAACUUGGUAUUUAAGACGAGAAUUUCUGCUAUUGUGUUGAGAAACGCAGUGUCCCUGCUUUCUCCCAUGUAUACAUGUUAUUAAACUUGGUAUUAUUUUCUCCUGCUAACCUGUCUUGUUAAUUAUUUGGCCAGCCAGAAGAACCUUAAGGGAAAGGGCAGAGGGAGAUUCUCCCCCUUCCCCCGACAGUUUUGGCGUAGUCGCCAGGAGCCACACUGGCUGGCAAGUUGCCUUCUCUGGCUGGAAGACCUGCCUUCUCCCUGGACUACUGCAGAUGAUGAGAUCCGGGAACGCCUGAUGAAAGCCGGCAAAAAGGACACAAUUGGAAACACUGGGUCUAUUACCAAGGUUGUGACUGGAACAUCAUAUUUGCAAUAUAACCAUACAGCUUUUGAGGAAUGAAGAUUGGACUUUAUGGAAUAAAGCCACGUGGAAAUAUUGGCCUGGUACCUUUAUGUUCCAAGCAGCACUUACCAGGAUAAGUAAAGAAUGUCACUUAUCUGGCAGGUACAAGGAACCUCGAAAUAUUUUGGGGGAACCUCGGAAGAGAGAAAUUCACCCAAAUCUCUAGGUAUUGCAGGCAAAGUCUGAUGACAAAAUCCUUGGCUUGGCUUUCCUGGCCUCGAGAGGCUUUUGAAGUUCAACCUGAGAUUCCUUAUAAAAAGUUCCAGCAAAGCAGACUUAAAAGAGCCUAUGUAAUCAAUUGCUAUUCUUGCCGUACUUAUGUAAAUAAUUGGGCCAACUCUAUUAGAACUAGAUUUAUUUAGCAAACUAGUUAGUUUUAAUUUGGCUAUCUUAACGAAAAUGAGGGUGAUUUUAGAGAGAAAAAAAUUAUAUUUCAGUAAAAACUAUUUCAGUAUAAAUUUGCGGAUAUUAGAUCCUAGUUUUGUUAAUUGUCUUUUGAGGUUUUGUUUUAUAUCUGUUGACGGGACUGGAUCCUGAUUUCUUCUAGUCUCCUAAAAUAUCUGGCUACAGAUGUCCAAACUAACGUUUUUGAUUUUUUCCAUCAUUUUCAUUUGAAAUCACUGAAAACUGAAUCUGCCCUUUUGCCUGAAGCCUUACAAACUGAAGCUGAUGGACUUGAUACAAACUUAAGAGAUUACUUGAUGACAUCAUCAGAGACAUUUUAAACUGCAAAAGAUGCUUUGACGCUGACAUCUAAAAUUCUUCACUGGCUGUCCUCUGAACUCAAAAACUGCUUUACAACUUGCUCUAACCAUUAACCUUGUUUUUCUUUUGUUUACAUAGAAAUGCUUCUAUUAAAUACUUGAUUGCUUGCUUCCAUAAUAUAGGCGUAACCUUGAGAGCCCA